rnacentral:rRNA from 1 species
UACGGAGGGAGCUAGCGUUAUUCGGAAUUACUGGGCGUAAAGCGCACGUAGGCGGCUUGUAGAUAGAGGUGAAAGCCUGGAGCUCAACUCCAGAAUUGCCUUUAAGACUGCAUCGCUUGAAUCCAGGAGAGGUGAGUGGAAUUCCGAGUGUAGAGGUGAAAUUCGUAGAUAUUCGGAAGAACACCAGUGGCGAAGGCGGCUCACUGGACUGGUAUUGACGCUGAGGUGGCG